rnacentral:rRNA from 1 species
ACUCGAGUGGCGAACGGGUGAGUAACACGUGGGUGAUCUGCCCUGCACUUCGGGAUAAGCCUGGGAAACUGGGUCUAAUACCGGAUAGGAGCCAUUUUUAGUGUGAUGGUUGGAAAGUUUUUUCGGUGUAGGAUGAGCUCGCGGCCUAUCAGCUUGUUGGUGGGGUAAUGGCCUACCAAGGCGGCGACGGGUAGCCGGCCUGAGAGGGUGUACGGCCACAUUGGGACUGAGACACGGCCCAG